CAUAACACCAUACAGUUAGGUACACUGAACAGAAUAAUUGUAAACAAUAAAUAUUUAAAUAAAAAUAUACAUUCAUAAUGCCCUGUUUCAAGCAAGAGAAAAGCCUAUUAUUCCGCCCUCGUCGGGAUAAAACCAAUGAUAGAGAUCUGAAGGCACCCAAAGCAGUUCGACCACGAGCCAUCAAAUGCCAUGGACUCUUUGGAAUGGCCAUUGCCAGGCAGCAUCUCAUCGUUGACGAAAAGUGGACACCCGCCUCGCUAAGCGAUCAGUAUGGUGGGAUGACCGAACUACUGAGGCGUCGCGUAAUCUAUAAGCGGCAUGAGACUAAUGCCAAUCGGUUGCAACUUUUGGUGGAGAGCAAGCGAUUGAGAAAUCAAUGUGCUGAUGGGCGCACUAAGCUCCAAAAGAUAUCGCAGGGGAAUAAUACACACAAGAUACGCAACUUUUUGAUUAGGCACAAGGAUAUGCAGCGUCUCUAUCAGAAAAUGCCCAUACAUCAAGUUGUCGAUAACAUUAAUCAACGCACUUUUACAAUGCGUAAGGAGCGAGAUCGCUUGGAGUUGCGCUUGGAUCAGUUAAAGCAUACAUAUAAAGAGUUAUUGCUGGACCGAGGUGAGGUCGAGAACCUAAUUAGGUAUGAGAAUGAGUUUGUGCUAGAAGAGCAGCUCAAAUCGCGGGAGUUACUUAAGAGAAUUGAAAACUCGAAAGUACGCUUAAAGGCCAUUAAAACCAUUAAUACUACAUAUAAGAAAAUGUUGCAAGUGUUAAUACAGGACGAAAUUUUUUAUGAGCCCAUUCUGCGUUCUCUGGUCGGUGACAUGGAGGAUCAGUCGAAUUUCAUCAAGCACAUACUCUAUCUGGGUAUACCGGCCAUAUCCAAGUUCAGGAAGCUCAAUCGCGAGUUUCUUCAGCUAGAUGCUAAGUCGCGGAUGAAUGUUCAGGAGAAGAUAGAAAUCUUGGCUUCACUGAAAACUCCAAAAGCUAUUGGCGGCUUACCACAACCUAAGACUAACGAGAUUUUAUCAGCAGAUCCAAAUCGUUAUGUGCGUGAUACACAGAGCAUGUCUAUGUUAAAGAGAGAACUGCAAACCAUUGAGAAGACAAUCAAGGAGCUAAAAUUAGUGACACUAUGCUCACAGGCCAAGGAGAUAUAUCCACGCGUAAAGAGUCAGGUGGAAAAUAAUCAACAACUCAUUCGAAAAGUCGAGCAUGAAAGGCAGAAUCGAGAUAUGCUAGAGAACAAAAUGAAUUACGCAUCGAUGCUGAAAGAUAUAUUAGUUAAUAAUCUAUCUGAGGAGGAAAUUAAUCGCCUUGAGCGAAUUAAAGACCUAAAAAGAAUAUUGAAAGGUGACGAGGAAUUUGAGCAAGAAACUGUGGAGCAUAUCAAAAAUCGCGGAGAUGCAUUUGUAUUGAUUCGCAUUAGACUUUGGAAUCUAAUUGAAAUUUUACGACACAUAGAUCGUGAUCCAAAAAUGUUCCGCUCUCAGUAUCCAAAUUCGUAUUUGAAGUUGCCACUUCUCAAAUUCGAUUUGCAUAACGUGUACGCUGCGCCACCAGAGCUUUACGAGGAAGACACUGAAAAAAUAAUGAAUUUGCUUAAGCGUAAGGUUUACAAGCUGAUGAAGAGUUACAAAGCGAUAAAGAGAUCGGACAAAGACAAUAGCAGGGAAAAGUACCAUAUCGAAUUUUUAAAUACGAUCAACUAUAACCCAUAUAUUGAUGAGGACGAGGGACACGGAGCAAUAGUUGGUGAGGAUCUACUACAGGCGCAGAAAACCUUGGCAAAUAUACCAGAUCGCAAGCAGAUUAAGGCUCAGAGCUCUAGGCUUGUAGAGGAUCAUGCCAAGCUGGAUGAAAGAUAAUCAAGAUAGUAACUAAAUUUGGUUAGUAUAUUACUGUCGACGUCGUUCAAAGCACAGUAUCGGGUCAUGCCUGCUCGUAAUUUUAAAGCUAGAGUUUUCAAAAUUGCAAGGUGGAUUACUAGUAACAUUCUCCUACGAUUGAUUAAGUUACUAAAUUUGAAUGUCACGUCAAUGAUUAAUCAAUGGUCGAAGCUUAAGUUAAUAGUUGGCAUAGAAAGGAAGAUAUGUUGAAUUUUCUUAAAAACUUUUGAAAAGUAUUUAAGGAUUUUUCAAAGUAAGCUUUGAAAUUCUCUUCUACAAACUUUUCAUAUUAUUGUGAAUGAUUUAAUUCAAUUGUUAUGUACACAACAUAAUUUUGUAAACAGAUAAUUAAAAAAAAAAAUAAAAAAAAAUAAAAAUAUAUAAAUAAGCCAAAAAAAUAAGAAAAAUAAAAAAA